rnacentral:rRNA from 1 species
UACAGAGGUCUCAAGCGUUGUUCGGAUUCAUUGGGCGUAAAGGGUGCGUAGGCGGCGCGGUAAGUCGGGUGUGAAAUCUUGGAGCUUAACUCCGAAACUGCAUUCGAUACUGCCGCGCUUGAGGACUGGAGAGGAGACUGGAAUUUACGGUGUAGCGGUGAAAUGCGUAGAUAUCGUAAGGAAGACCAGUGGCGAAGGCGGGUUGCUGGGCCGACACUGACGCUGAUGCGCGAAAGCGUGGGGAACGAACAGG